rnacentral:rRNA from 1 species
CCUUUGGGAGCAGCAGGCGAGAAAACUUUGCAAUGUGCGAUAGCCUUAAAGUUAAUCCGAGUGGAUGUGCUAAAGGAAUCCUUGUUAUCCUAG